rnacentral:rRNA from 1 species
CCGUUAGGUACUGCGGCAGGACAUUACC